ensembl:lncRNA
GGAGCAGUUUCCCACAUCUCAGAUGACCAAUCAAACAGGUUGUUUAGAUACCUGACAGGUGUUGUGAUUAUGACUGCUGCCAAAAGUAUAUAGACAGAGCUUGGCCCAGGGCCAGUUUCAUUUGCAGUGUGAACAUGGAAGCACCUCGCCAAGUACAACAGCAACUUCCUGCUCGAGGAAGAGGAGGAGUGAGAAUGCGUGGAGGAAUAGGGGGAAGAGGCCGAGGAGCACGGAGGCACCAUGAUGUCCCAGAUGAAAUCCGGGCCACCCUUAUUGACCACGUUAUAAACCAUCGCCUCACAAUGGCAGAGGCAGGUCGCCGAGUGCAGCCUAAUGUGCCUCGGUCUACAGUCUCCUCCAUCAUCCAAACCUUUCGCAGGGCAAACAGGUACAGAACUAUGCUAUUGAACUAUUCAGUGUUGGUGUGUGUGUAGGCCUAGAGUACUGUAAUAUCUUCAUGUGAUGUUAUAUGAUACUAUAAAAAUGACAAAGAAAAAAAAAUGGAGAAAAUACUGUGAAUAGUAUUCCAGUCACUGAGCAGUGCAUCACACUUUUAGUACCAUAAAACAGCAGUACAAUUACAUUGGUAACUCAUUUUGUAACAAAUUUACAGUGUUGACCUUUGACUUGUAUGUCUAGGUUUGGACGACAGCCUCAAGUGGGUGGCAGAAGAAAACUUCUAAAUGAACAACAAGAACAAGAAAUAUGCAACAUGAGAAUAAUGACAUUAGAAGGCAACGAAACCCUCACAUCCUGGUGUUCAUUGAUGAAGCUGGCUUCAACCUGGCCAAAGGUCGAAGGCGUGGCCGUAACAUCAUUGGCCACCAAGCCACUGUGGAUGUCCCAGGCCAGCGAGGAGCAAAUAUAACAAUGUGUGCCGCUAUAUCAGAAAGAGGUGUGGCCACACACAUUCCCAGUUUAGGGCCCUACAAUACACAAAAGCUCCUCAAUUUUUUGGACCACCUUUAUGCUGAUCUGAUCCCAGAAAAUGAGAGAGGUGAAGAAGGACCUCAGCUACCACAUUAUGUCAUUGUGUGGGAUAAUGUGAACUUCCACCGCGGCCCACGCAUCAGAACCUGGUUCACCACCCAUCCCCGGAUGCUAAUGGAGUUUCUUCCACCUUACUCUCCUUUCCUAAAUCCAAUUGAGGAGUUUUUUUCAGCUUGGAGGUGGAGGGUGUAUGAGCAUCAGGCUCAAGACCAGAGGGCCCUGCUGCAUGCAAUGGAUGCUGCAUGUGAGGACAUCACAGCGGAUCAAUGUAGGGGAUGGUGAGACAUUCACGCCGUUUCUUCCCUCGCUGCAUCGCAAGAGAAAAUAUCCGUUGCGAUGUGGAUGAGAAUUUAUGGCCUGACAGAG